rnacentral:rRNA from 1 species
GACGAACGCUGGCGGCGUGCCUAAUACAUGCAAGUUGAGCGAUGAAGCUUGGUGCUUGCACCAAUUUGAAGAGCAGCGAACGGGUGAGUAACGCGUGGGGAAUCUGCCUUUGAGCGGGGGACAACAUUUGGAAACGAAUGCUAAUACCGCAUAACAACUUUAAACAUAAGUUUUAAGUUUGAAAGAUGCAAUUGCAUCACUCAAAGAUGAUCCCGCGUUGUAUUAGCUAGUUGGUGAGGUAAAGGCUCACCAAGGCGAUGAUACAUAGCCGACCUGAGAGGGUGAUCGGCCACAUUGGGACUGAGACACGGCCCAAAAUCCUACGGGAGGCAGCAGGAGGGAAUCUUCGGCAAUGGACGAAAGUCUGACCGAGCAACGCCGCGUGAGUGAAGAAGGUUUUCGGAUCGUAAAACUCUGUUGGUAGAGAAGAACGUUGGUGAGAGUGGAAAGCUCAUCAAGUGACGGUAACUACCCAGAAAGGGACGGCUAACUACGUG